UUUCUAUGGAGAGUUUGAUCCUGGCUCAGGACGAACGCUGGCGGCGUGCCUAAUACAUGCAAGUCGAGCGGACGAUUCGAAAGCUUGCUUUUGAAUCGUUAGCGGCGGACGGGUGAGUAACACGUGGGCAACCUGCCCUGUAGACGGGGAUAACACCGAGAAAUCGGUGCUAAUACCGGAUAACACGAAAUGUCGCAUGACGUUUCGUUGAAAGGCGGCGCAAGCUGCCGCUACAGGAUGGGCCCGCGGCGCAUUAGCUAGUUGGUGAGGUAACGGCUCACCAAGGCGACGAUGCGUAGCCGACCUGAGAGGGU
rnacentral:rRNA from 1 species